AUGCAGACGAGCUAUAAAUUAAAAAAUAAUAAUAAUAACUCACAUAAUCUGACAUCAAUCAUUUUGAACUAUGAAAUACAUUUCCAGCAAGAUCUAUUUUAUUUUUAUUCAAUGAUCCACAAGACUAGACAAGAGGAGUUGUUCUGAUGGUAAGCAACCUCCACUUCCAACCGAGAGGUUGUGAGUUCGAGUCUCCCCAAGGAUGGUUGAAAUGGAGGCUUGCAUCGGGGGUCUUGUGUGACAAGAAAGUACCACAGUUACUCACAUGUAUGUUUUAUAGAGCUGUGGUUAUACCAGCCAUGUUGUGUUGGGUAGAGUGUUGGCUGGUUAAAAACUCCCAUAUCCAGAGGAUGAAGGUAGCAGAGAUGAGGGAAACAGCCUCUCUAUCCCAGGGUAGAGGUAAGGUGUGCGUACAUACUACCCUCCCCAGACCCCACUAUGUGGGAUUAUACUUGCUUCUUGUUGUUGUUGUUGUUGUCAAUGAUCCAUAAGACUAGAGCAGGCUCUGAUUUGGUGCUUAUUUCUUCGUGGCAAAUGUUUGCCCUGUUGAAACAAUAGAAAUGUCAUUUUGAUGCUAGUCUUGAACUAGAAAGUUAAUCUGUUCAUGCUAAUAUAGUAAGAUUGAGAUCUCGUGUUACAUAAUACUACUGCAAAUGAUCUCCUACUUCCAGAUAAUUAUUCCAGCUGAAUUGAAGAAACAGCCGUAGUUAUUUCCUUUGCUCGAGGAUCGUUGUUCUCCAAGGAUACACCCCGAGGAUCUUCUCUUACUAGCAUAGCUACAACAUUGACCGAACUCCAAGGUUUAGUCACAUUCUUGCUUGAAUCCCCCAAAGUGACCGCAAAAACCGCAUCAAAUCCACCAGCACCAGGAAUGCCAGCUAACAGAACUCCCUCCAUAUUCAUCGUAGCAUCUAGAAGCUGAGAUUGUAAUUCUGGUUCUAUCUGUGAAUUGUGUACAAGGUAAAAGAAAUGGUCAUAAACAUAGAAGAAUAUAGUAGUGCACUGGACUCCUUAAGAGCUUUUGACCUUACGAGCUUUCUUUGAAUGUCAAGAACGUUGAAAUAUGUAAAUUGGGAAAAUUGCAGUAAAGUAAAUUAGAAAAAAAGAAAAACAAUAUUCUUGCAAAUGUCUGUUGAAAAUGAAGAAAAAGUUUUCAACCAAAAAAAAAAGGUUUAAGAGAAGAAGAAACCAUCUUCCUACAAAAAAUCCUUCACUUUUGCAACACACGUAAGAUUUUGCAUGGAACCUACUUUUCUUUCUCAUUUGGAAAUUAUUUUACAAAAACAUGGAAGGAGAUUAUCUUAUUUCAAUUUACUUCAGUUUAACUAUUUUCUUGUUACUUUAUGGACAUUUAAAGAAACCCAAAGGAAAUGGACACAAUAAUUUCACAUUGAAGUUGUUGGGAAUAAACCCCGAAAAAUAGUAUUCACGGCAUUAAAGAUAAAUGCAGAACACUAUGGUUCAAUCAGCAAGAAUUGAAAGUAGCAAAAAAUGACACCAAGAUUUUAUGUGGAAACCCUUCUAAAAAGGGAAAAACCACGGCCAAGAGGAGCAACUGAUAUCACUAUAGCGAGGAAUUUUAUACUGUGUAGUAACGAGUAAAUACUCCUAACACCACUACACCCUCAAAAGACGGAAACACUCUUUUGCUUCUUUCACCUCACUACAAUAUCUAUCAUACUCUAUUUUUCUUCAUAAAUUAUUUUCUUACAGUUUAUGGAAUACAUUUCUCUCUCUUUUCUCUCUUUGUUGGUGUAUUGAAAUGAGAGUUGAAGCUCUCCUUUUAUAACCAAAGCUUCACUCUCUAAAGCCUACAAUAUUUGACAAUUUACACAUACUUUUUACAAUUCAAAUUACCUNNNNNNNNNNNNNNNNNNNNNNNNNNNNNNNNNNNNNNNNNNNNNNNNNNNNNNNNNNNNNNNNNNNNNNNNNNNNNNNNNNNNNNNUACUUUUUACAAUUCAACAAAGUUGGCUACCAACCCAAAGAAAAUCAACAAGGUUGGCUACCUAACCAAACCAAGUCAAUAAAAUUGGCUACCAGAUAUUCAACAAGGUUGGCUACCAAACCAAACCAAGUCAACAAAAUUGGCUACCAAAUCAUUUGAAUGAGAUGGACACCAUAUCAAUCUUCCCUUCCAGUUUCAUUCAUCUAGAUGAGGUAGCACUAUCUUCUAGUACGAGCGCAAGCUGACAAGUUCUUUACAUAGCUCGAACUUGUCUCUUGGUACCACCUUGGUUAACAUAUCAGCAAGAUUUUCACUCGUAUAAAUCUUUUUGACCUGUAAAGAUUCGUUCUCCACAUACUCACGAAUACAAUGAUAUCUCACAUCUAUAUGCUUUGUUCUUGCAUGGUACAUAGAGUUUUUGCUUAGGUCAAUUGCACUCUGACUGUCGCAAUAGACAACAUACUCCAUCUGUCGCAAUCCAAGUUCUUGAAGAAAUCUCUUGAGCCAUAUCAUCUCUUUGCCAACUUCAGUAGCCAUAAUAUACUCCGCUUCAGUUGUAGAUAGUGCGACACACUUCUGCAACUUUGACUGCCAUGAUAUAGCUCACUUCAGUAGCCGCAAUAUACUCCGCUUCAGUUGUAGAUAGUGUGACACACUUCUGCAACUUUGACUGCCAUGAUAUAGCUCCCCCUGAAUAAGUAAACGGAUAUCCAGUAGUGGAUUUUCUGUUAUCAAGGUCACAUGCCAUAUCAGAAUCUGUAUAGCCCUUCAAAAUUGAAUUGGAUCCUUCAAAACAUAAGCAUUCAUGUGAGAUUCCCCUAAGAUACCUGAGUAUCCAUUUUGCAGCUUCCCAAUGCUCUUUUCCUGGAUGUCAAGAAAUCUGCUAACAACAUCGACUGCAUGGGCAAUAUCUGGUCGAGUCCAUACCAUUUCAUACAUCAAACUUCCGACAAUAGAGGAAUAAGGAAUUUUGUCCAUUCUCUCUUUUUCCUCGGUUGUUGUUGGACACAUCUUCUUGCUCAACUUCAGAUGACCAGGAAGGGGUGUGCGAACCAACUUAGCAGUUUUCAUAUUGAAGCGCUCCAGUACAUGUUCUAUGUACUUCUCCUGUGACAAGUAAAGCUUCCUUUCAUUUCUCAAACAAGUAAUCCUCAUGCCCAAAAUUUGCUUAGCAUGUCCCUCGUGACAAGUAAAGCUUCCUUUCAUUUCUCGAACGAGUAAUCCUCAUGCUCAAAAUCUACUUAGCAUGACCCUAGUCUUUCAUUACAAAAGACUUAUUCAACUGUUUCUUCAACUCUUCAAUCUUAGAAGCAUUCCUGCCCACAAUCAACAUAUCAUCCACAUAUAGCAAGAGGAUGAUAAAGUCAUCAUCAGAAAAUUUUUGUACAAACACACAAUGAUCUGAGAAGUCUUCUUGAUGCCUUGCUUCCCCAUAACAGACUCAAACUUCUUGUACCACUGUAUGGGAGCUUGCUUCAAUCCGUAUAGACUCUUCUUAAGUUUGCAUAAAAGAUUUUCUUUACCUUUUGCCUUGAAGCCCUCAGGUUGCUCCAUAUAAAUCGCCUCUUCUAAGUCACCGUGAAGAAAAGCAGUCUUCACAUCCAUCUGCUCAAUCUCCAAAUCACGACUAGCAGUCAAACCAAGAACUGUCCGAAUAGAGGACAUUUUCACCACAGGUCAAUACCUUUUCUUUGACCAAAUCCCUUGACAACCAAUCUAGCUUUGUAUCUGGUCUUCAAACUAUGUUCUUCAGCUUUAACUUUGAACACCCACUUGUUCUUCAAAGCUCUCAUGCCCUUAGGCAAUUUCACCAACUCAUAAGUAUAGUUCUUAUGCAGAGAUUUCAUCUCAUCUUGCAUGGCUUCAAUCCAUUGAUCCCCAUUCUCAUCUUCUAUGGCCUCCGCAUAAUAUUCAGGUUCUCCCCCAUCAGUGAGUGUGGUUCUCAUGCAGAGAUUUCAUCUCAUCUUACAUGGCUUCAAUCCAUUGAUUCUUGUGCUCAUCCUCUAUGGACUCCGCAUAACAUUCAGGUUCUCCCCCAUCAGUGAGUAGUACAUACUCAUCGGGUGAAUAACGGGAGGAAGGAGUAUGAGGUCUAGAAGACCUCCUAAGUGGAAUAUCUAACUCUUCCACAACUUUGUGAGUAAGAGCAUCUACCUCAUCAACAUUAGCAUUAUUAACACCAUCACUAUCAAUAUGUUGAUCCGGAAUAUGGUUCUGGGCUUCAACAUCAUUGAGCCCAUCAACGUCAUCCGCGUUUGUAUAAGGAACUUGAUCAAGAUUAACUAAGCCUUCAGAACUUGAAGAUUUUAGCUUCUCCACUUUAUUAAUAUCUUUAAUAAGGUGGAAUAUUUAACUUUUCCACAACUUCGUGAGUAGGAGCAUCUACCUCAUCAACAUUAGCAUUAUUAUCACCAUAACCAUCAAUAUGCUGAUCCGGAAUAUGGUUCUGGGCAUCACCAUCAUUGAGCCCACCAACGUCAUCCGCAUUUGUAUGAGGAACUUGAUCAAGAUUAACUAAGCCUUCAGAACUUGAAGAUUUUAGUUUCUCCGCUUUAUUAAUAUCUUCAAUGGUUUGAUCCUCCACGAAUAUAGAAUCACGACUUCUCAGGACCUUCUUCUCAAUUGAAUUAUAUAACAUGUAACCAAACUCAUUAAGGCCAUAACGAAUGAAGAUGCACUGCCUUGUAUUAGCAUUUAAUUUUGACCUCUCAUCUUUAGGCACAUGUACAAAAGCUUUACAACCAAACACUUUCAAGUGGUCAUAGCAAAUAUCCUUGCUAUACCAAACUCUAUUUGGAACAUCACUUUGCAAAGCAACUGUAGGGGAUAGAUUAAUAACAUGUGCGGCGGUCAACAAAGCCUCACCCCAAAUGGAAUUCGGAAACUUUGCUUCAGAAAGAAAAUAUCUGACUCUUUCCAUCAAGGUCAUAUUCAUCAUUUCUGCUAAACCGUUCAUACCAAACUCUGUUUGGAACAUCACUUCGCAAAGCAACUGUAGGGGAUUGAUUAAUAACAUGUGCGGCGGUCAACAAAGCCUCACCCCAAAAGGAAUUCGGCAACUUUGCUUUAGAAAGCAAACAUCUGACUCUUUCCAUCAAGGUCCUAUUCAUCCUUUCUGCUAAACCGUUAAGCUGAGGAGUCUUAGGAGGAGUCUUCUGGUGUCUGAUAUCCUGGUGCUUGCAGUAUUCAUCAAACGCUCCACAAUAUUCACCACUGUUAUCAGUACGAAUACACUUCAGCUUCUUUCCAGUUUCUCUUUCAGCUGAAGCCUGAAACUACUUAAAGACACCCAGCACUUGGUCUUUGGUCUUCAAGAUGUAGACCCAAAUAUUUCUUGAACAAUCAUCAAUAAAGGUAGCAAAAUAAAGUGCACCACCCAUAGUCCUUGUCUUUAUUGGACCACAUAAGUCUGAAUGCACCAACUCAAGCAACUAUGUCUUUCUUGAAGGAGGAUGAGAUUGAAAGAAACUCUUUUUUGUUUUCCAGCCAAGCAGUGCUUACAUUUUUCUAAUUUUGCACUUUCAAAAUUUGACAACAAUUUCUUCUUGGACAGAACAUUUAGUCAUUUCUCGCUAAUGUGGCUAAGCCUCUUAUGCCAUAACGUUGAAGAAUUAUGGUUCUCAAUGUCAUUCGUCAUAUCAACACAGGUAGAGGUCGUAUUCCAAUAUAGACCACGAGCUAAUGUGGCUAAGCCUCUCAUGCCAUAACGUUGAAAAAUUAUGGCUCUCAACGGCAUUCACCAUAUCAACACAGGUAGAGGCCAUAGUCCAGUAUAGACCACGAUGUUUUUCCCCACAAGCCACAAUCAUGGAGCCCUUAGUGAGCUUCCACUUUCCAGCACCAUUGGUACUGACAUAUCCAUCAUCAUCAAAAACACCAACAGAGAUCAAGUGCAGAUGAACAUCAGGAGCAUGUUUUACAUUGUUUAAAACUAGUUUAGUUCCAAUACUAGUGUAACGACCCGAUCGGUCGUUUUGAGCUCCUAUGCUUUACAUUGUUUAAAUCUAGUUUAGUUUCAAUACUAGUUUCCAAACAAAUCAUUCCAACACCAGCCACCCUAGAUACAGUCUCAUUACCCAUACUCAAAGUUCCAUAGUCACCCUGAGUAUAGGAUGAGAAAAAUUCCUUCCUUGAUGUCACAUGAGAUGCGGCACCACUGUUCACAACCCAGCUUGACUCAUCACAAGCAAUAUUUAGCCGAUCCGCAUCGAGGACAGUAACAAGAUCUUCUGUAGUGAUGGUGGCCACAUGAUUGCCAUCUUCUUUUUGUUCUUCCUUGUCUCUAUUCUCCUUUUUUAAAAUACAGCAUAACUUCUUUGUGUGUCAUUUCUUCCCGCAAUGAUAGCACUCAAUAUCUUUAAGUCUACUUCUGGAUUUGCUUCUAUAAUGUUCUCUAUUUUAAGAACCCUGAUUCUUGUUUCUCCCCCUAGAAUCAGUAACCAAAACAUCUGAUGAGGAGGAACCUUGAGAUUUUCUUCUCAUCUCUUCAUUUAAAAGGCUGCUCUUGNNNNNNNNNNNNNNNNNNNNNNNNNNNNNNNNNNNNNNNNNNNNNNNNNNNNNNNNNNNNNNNNNNNGCUCUUGGCAAGAUCCAUAGAGAUCACACCAUCCGGAGCAGAAUUUGAUAAUGAAGUUCUAAGAAUUUCCCAAGAAUCUGGUAGGGAACCAAGUAAAAACAGUCCUUGAAUUUCUUCAUCAAAUUUAAUGCCCAUAGCAUAUCAUUGAUUCAUGAUCCCCUGAAAAUUAUUCAGAUGAUAUGUUAUCGCGGAACCAUCAUGGUAUUUUAUACCCAACAUCUGCUUUAUUAGAAACAUCUUGUUGUUUCCAGUUUUCCGAGCAUACAAACUUUCAAGGUGCUUCCAAAGGGUCUGAGCAUGUGUCUCCCUAGAAAUAUGGUUCAAAACAUUAUCGUCAACCCACUAUCUAAUAAAGCCGCAAACAUGCCUGUGUAACAAACUCCAUUCUUCAUCUGAUUUAUUAUCAGGCUUUAUAGUAGUGAAGUCAGGCAGAUGAAAAUUCUUGGCAUAGAGCAAAUCUUCCAUUUUACCCUUCCAAAUGGCAUAAUUUAUGCCAUUCAAAGUAACCAUUCUACUAGUGUUGGCUUACAUCGUUUAUCACAAAUACAAAUAUUAUUUGUUAUGAGACCAAAGUAAUUCUUUUCUGAUGUGGAAUAUCAGACUGGGCUGCAACCACAGAGCAUACUUAAACAGAAUCUUGGCUCUGAUACCAGUUGUUGGGAAUAAACCCCGAAAAAUAGUAUUCACGGUAUUAGUGAUAAACGCAGAACACUAAGUUAUGGUUCAAUCAGCAAGAAUAGAAAGCAGCAAAAAUGACACCAAGAUUUUACGUGGAAACCAUUCUGAAAAAAGGGAAAAAUCACGGUCAAGAGGAGCAACUGAUAUCACUAUAGCGAGGACAUUGUGUAGUAACGAGUAAAAAUACUCCUAAAACCACUACACCCUCAAAAGAAGUAAACACUCUUUUGCUUCUUUCACCUCACUACAAUAUCUCUCACACUUUAUUUUUCUUCAUAAACUAUUUUCUUACAGUUUAUGAAAUACCUUGCUCUCUCUAUUUUCUCUCUUUGUUGGUGCGUUGAAAUGAGAGUUGAAGCUCUCCUUUUAUAGCUAAAGCUUCACUAUGGGAUACCUUGAUCUCUCCUUUCUCUCUUUAUUGGUGUAUUGAAAUGAGAGUUGAAGCUCUCCUUUUAUAGUCAAAGCUUCACUCUCUAAAGCCUACAAUAUUUGACAAUUUACACACACUUUUUACAAUUCAACAAAGUUGGCUACCAACCCAAAGAAAAUCAACAAGGUUGGCUACCUAGCCAAACCAAGUCAAUAUGGCUACCAAAUAAUUCAACAAGGUUGGCUACCAAACCAAACCAAAUCAACAAAAUUGACUACCAAAUCAUUUGAAUGAGAUAAACACCAUAUUAGUUGUCUAGGGGUUAAAUUCUUCAGAAACAAGGCCUGCUUUUGCAUCGUUGACAUAUAGUGAUGUCUUGAUGAAGUAAUUCACACAUGGGUGGGGAGAAAGAAAAGAAACAAGCUUCUAGUUACAUGGUACUGGAAAACUUACUGGAAUUCCUGCAGCUUCUCCCAUCUUGCGCGUUUGAUUCCUAAUCCGAAGCAUAACAUCUCGAGCUCCUAAUAAUUCUUUAACAAUUUCUGCUUGAGUUGGUUCAUUUGCUCUCUCCAACCAAUGUUCAUGUUGAAAAGCAGUAGAAACCAAAGUUCCAAAUGAAAAAGAGUCUCUAUAAUUUAGAAUUCAACCAAAAAACAAUGAGAAUCCAAUUGACGAUAAAAAUAUUUACUAUAGAAAGUUUGGGCCAUCCAUGUUAUGUGAUAUGGAUCUUUCACCUCAAGGAAGUAGAUAGUUUUUUUAUGCUUUAUAAUUAAAAUUGACUUAUGGAGGCGGCAAAGAAAACAAUCACUAUGACUAGGAAUAUCGUCUAGUCAACUCAGCGAGGUUACAUAAGACCACAUCUGCAACACCCAGGAACUUUCCCAGAACAUAUUAGCAUCUAAGUGCAUCAAGGGUAGUUACCACCUGCCGUUUGUGAUAAAAUGAGGCAAACAUUUCUUACAAGAUAGCACUAGAUUUUGCUGCUCUAGUUCAAAAAGAGGUUUACCUUUUCAGCAAGAAGCAGGCUGCAGGCAUUGAUGAUGCAUUCAUAAGCAUUAUAAUGUCGUUCAGCCAAUUUACUCAAGGUAUUAAGGUGCAUGUAUGAGUCAAAACUUGACCUCAUGAUAAUGAAUGAGAUCAGCGCAUUUAUCAAAGCUUAUUUGUGACUAAUAAAUGGUAUGGCCAUUUAUUCAUAAGAUUAUCGGGUAGUUAUUCAAUUUAUCAAUUAAGGCCACGACCUGGUCGUCCUCAUGAGGGCGUCUCCUCUCUGUGGUCCCAACCUCUUGGCGCCAGCUGGCAGAUCUCUUAGUUAUAAAUAUUAAGAGAAAGAACCCUAAAAAGGGAGUUGUUUCUUCUUCUUCACAUUUCCUUCUAAAAGAAGAGAGAAUAGAUCAUUGUAAGGCUCUGAACCUCUUCAUGGAGAGGCAGACCAAACCAACAUCAUCCUCCCUUUAAUCCAUAACUGUUGUCUCUUAUAUUUUAUUCCUUUAGUCUUUGGAUUUAUUAUGAUCUGCUAUGAUUGACCCUCCAUUUAUUUUGAUUGUUUUAUGCUUACAAAGUGAAUGGAUACUUUGAGCCAAAUAUACCCUGCACAUUUUUACCCAAAAAAAUGCAAAAGAUUAUGAAUGACCUCGGCCGAUGACUACUUGGAGCAUUACUAAAUAGCCGUCCACCCACGCUUAAACUAAAAAUAGCUCACGAAUACAUUGUAUAUGUAUAAUUCUUGUAUAUUUAUGAUGUCUGUAAUAAGCAUAUAAUUUAUGUAUAUCGGCUAGAAAAAGUAUACAGUGAGACCAACUGCUAUUUGUAUAAAGGUCUCCUUGUGAACCCAUGUUUUACUCGUGCAGUUCAAGAGCAGUGUUUCCUUCCAAUAGCCGUCUCCAUGUUUCUAGAGAAUCCUGGAGGUCGGACCUCUGCCAUUUCUUAACAGCCCCAACCAUCGAUGGUGUUGAAGAUCCUCCACUGCCCGGCUCUCCAGGUAACUGCAAGUGCUCAGCUGUUAGCUCCAGCAACUUAAAAAGAAAGAAACAAUGUGUACCACAUACAAUUAACCACUUUGAUCUUGAGACAGUUUCAGCUGGAGUAGGAUUCCUUGGAAGAGCAAGAAUGAUCCCAUUAAAGUGAGGAAGCAUAAGGCAAAUGUUUCUAGUCAGGCAACAUCUUCAGUUAUAAAGGCUAUACAGCCAAUCAGGAGAUCCCAUCAAAUUUGGCCACAAUAAAAGCAUGCUAGGUUGGAUUAUUGACCUAUAUGAAAGUUAUUAUCAUUUUCAUCAUGUAAUACAGUAAAGUAUAUUCAGGAAGAGAAAUUUCAUUGCUUAGCCCAAGCACCACUAUCAAAUAAAUUUAUACUUGACGUCAAUAUUCAGCAUUGAAACUGCAAAAAGUUCUGUAUUUCUAUAUGAUAGUGUGAUAGUCAAUGUGUUGGGUAUCCAGCUAAGGGCAUGGAUAUCAAAAGAGGACACAAGGAUGUGUCAUUAAAGGUCGCUUAGCAUGUAAAACAUGGGGAUUUUAAUCAUCCAGCUUGCUUGCAGCAGAUUAGCAGUCCAUCAUUCUUAACGACUUAACCAGACAAACAUUCAUAAGUUGUGGAUAUGGAAUAUCAGACUCAUUAGAGUCAUCAAAGGAGGGAAUGAAAACUUGGUCUCUCAUGGUCCCACUUGGCUUUUAGGACAUCCUCAAUGACUUCUGUUAGUGAUCUUUCCAUACCUGCAUUCUGCAAAUUAAAAAAAUAAAACAACAGUUGUGAACUACAUUCGACAACAUUCAGAUGCAAAUCCGCAACAUCUCACCACUCCAUAUAGCAGAUGUUUAUUGCUAGACGUCCGCACACACCUAUAAUGGAUAUAUAUGAUGAAAAAUAAUAAUAGAGAGGAUUUAUGCAGCCAACACCAAAUAGUCCGGUAUAUGGGGCUGCAACGGAUGAAAACCCCUCCACGAACCGACGAUAGUAGCCUGCCAAUCCCAAGAAACUCCGAAUCUCGUAGCCGAUACUUGUCUAGGCCAGUUUUUGACUGCUUCAAUCUUCUUCGGAUCAACCUGAAUAUCCUCUGCUGAUAUAACAUGACCCAGGAAUGCAACUGAACUCAACUAGAACUCACACUUCGAGAACUUAGCAUAUAACUGACUAUCCUUCAAAGUCUAAAGAACCACUCUGAGAUACUGCUCGUGCUCCUCUUGGUUGCGGGAAUAUAUCAGAAUAUCGUCAAUGAAGACUAUCACGAACGAGUCCAAAUAGGGCCUGAACACUCGGUUAAUCAAAUCCAUAGAAGCUGCUAGGCAUUGGUCAACCCAAAUGACAUAGCCAAGAACUCAUAAUACCCGUACCGAUUGCGGAAAGCUAUUUUAGGGACAUCGGAUGCCCUAAUCUUCAACUGAUGGUAGCCAGAUAUCAAAUCAACCUUUGAAAAUACAUUGGCACCCUGAAGUUAAUUGAACAAAUCAUCAAUCCUCGACAAUGGGUACUUAUUCUUGAUUGUGACCUUGUUCAACUGUCGGUAAUCAAUACACAUUCUCAUCGAACCAUCUGUUUUCUUAACAAACAACACUGUCGCACCCCAAGGCGAGACACUGGUCUAAUGAAACCCUUCAAAAAAAAGCAAAUCUUACAACUGCUCAUUCAACUCUGUGGGGCCAUGCGAUACGGUGGGAUAGAAAUGGGGUGGGUGUCCAGAGCCAAAUCAAUGCAGAAGUCAAUAUCCCUGUCGGGUGGCAUCCCCGGCAGGUCUGAAGGGAAUACCUCGGGAAACUCACGAACAACAGGUACAGUCAAAGGAUCUCAGCGUUGGAAUCACGAACAUAAUCCAAAUAGGCCAAAUACCCCUUCUUGACCAUACGCCGAGCCUUCACAUACGAGAUAACACCACGGGUAGAAUGACCAGGAGUCCCUCUCCACUCUAAACGAGGCAUACCCGGUAAGGCUAAGGUCAUAGUCUUGGCAUAGCAAUCCAAGAUACCGUGGUAAGGUGAUAACCAGUCCAUCUCCGAUAUAACAUCGAAGUCGAUCAUGUCUAGAAACAACAAAUUCACACAAGUCUCAAGACCCCCAAUCACAACUAUAUAAGAGUGAUGGACUCGAUCUACCAUAAUAGAAUCACCUACCGGUGUAGACACAUAAGCAGGAAUACUCAAAGAAUCACUAGGCAUGACCAGAUACGAUGCAAAAUAAGAUGACACGUACGAGUAGGUAGACUCUGGAUCAAAUAAGACUGAAGCAUCUCUAGCACAGACCAUAAUUGUAUAUGUAAUAACUACAUCUGAAGCCUCAGCCUCGGGCCUGGCUGGGAGAGUAUAACAUCGGGUUUGGACCCCACCACUCCGAACCACAUCUCUGGGACGGCCUGCUACUGGCUAGCCCCCACCUCUGGCGGCCUAAGCUCCAUCUCUAAGACCUCUAGCUCUACCUCUAGCACCUCUACCCCUUCCUCUAUCUGGCUAGGCGGGCUGUGGAACAUCUGGUGCCUGAACCAUAGCACGAGAACCUUGAUGCGGAGAACUGCUCGAGGGCAAUACCUAGCAAUGUGCCUUAUGUCGCCACAAGUAAAACAAGCCCUCGGCUAACGGCCCUGGAAACUCUAAAGCAGUGGUGCACUGAUAGGCGCUGGUGGUGCACUGAUAGGUGCUGGUGGUGCACUGGUAGGUGCUGGUGGUGCACUAAAGGACUGUUGAUCGGUAUAUUGCAUCUGAGGACCAGAGCUACCUAAAGCACCGUAAGAAACUUGAAGCGCUGACUGAAAGGGCCUAAGAGGAUGGCCUCUACCAUGUGAAUCUCUACCUCCAGACGAAGUAUCACUGAAUCUGCCUGAAUGACGGGGCCUCUUAUCCGACCCAUGACCACCUCCCUAUUAUAGAACCAUCUCAAUUCAAUGGGCUACAUUAGUCGCCUCCUAAAAAGGGAUCUCACUCCCGGCCUCCUUGGCCAUCUGAAGAUGGAUCGGCUGAAUAAGACCGUCAAUAAACCUCAUCACCCUCUCUCUUUCGGUACGAAGUAUGACAAGAGCAUGGCGUGCUAGAUCGAUGAACCUGGUCUCAUACUGGGUGACCGUCAUGGAACCCUGCUGGAGGCGCUCAAAUUGCCUCCGAUCGGUCUCUCGCUGAGUAACAGGGAGAAACUUCUCUAGAAACAACACUGUAAACUGCUCCCAAGUCAAAGAUGGCGACCCAGCUGGCCUAUCUAAGCUAUAAUCCUCCACCAAGUCCUGAUGGAUCCAUACAAUCGAAAUACAGCAAAAUCGACCCCAUUGGUCUCAACAAUGCCCAUGUUCCUGAGAACCUCGUGGCAGCUAUAUAGGAAACUCUGGGGAUCCUCAGAAGAUGCAUCGCUGAAAGUAGUAGUGAAGAGCUUGGUGAACCUAUCCAGCCUCUACAAAGUAUCGGCGGACAUAGCCUCUCCAUCGCUGGUAUGAGCCACUACACCCGACUGAAUUGCUACAGCUGGCUGAACUGCUGGAACCUGACCCUGGGGAGCUACCUACUCCGGAGCUUAUAUAGCACGAGUCUGAGCCCCUCCUCUAACCUGAGAAGUGGCUGGUGCUAGAAUAAGCAAACCUGCUCGGGUGACACUCCCCAUAAGGCCCACCAAUCGGACCAGAUCAUCCUAAAGAACUGGGGUAGCAAUAAACCCCUCUGGGACAUGAGCUGGGCCCACCGUGACAUCUGCGGCUGGAACCUCCUCCUCAAAAUCAACGUGAGGCUCCGCCACUAGUGCUGCUGCUCGGGGCUGAGCUCUGCCCCUACCUCGGCCUCGCCCUCUGCCCUAAUGGGAGCUGCUGCUGGGGGCUUGGGCUGCUGAGCGGUAGAUGAGGAAGCCCGUGUUCUCUCCAUUUGCGAAAGAACAGAGUAGAAAUCCAAUUAGCAUUGAGAUAUAAAUCCGCACGACAGGAAAUAAUAAAUGUGGAAAUUUUCUAACUCUGUAGCCUUUGGGGGAUAAACACAGACGUCUCCAUACUAAUCUCUCAGACUCUACAGAGCUUGCCCGUGAGUUGUGAGAACUAUGUAACCUAGAGCUCUGAUACCAACUUGUUACAACUCGGAAUUCUCACCUUCGGGAGUCGUGAUAGCGCCUACUCGUGGAAGCUAGGCAAGCCAAAAACCCUUGAAAUCAUUAACCCUUUUUGUCUUAUACAUGUUUAAACAAUUAAAUUAAUCACAAUCAAGCAAUUAAAUGAUAGAGAAAAAUAAUAAUUAGCGGAAGUCUUAGUUAAAUGUAGAAGCGAACAUCUAGAAAACCAAUACAAGAAUCUACCCAACACCUGGUGUCACAACAUUCACGAACUGACUAGGAUUACUACAAAUAAGUGUAUGAAAUAAAAAAAACAUAGUCUGUCUCGAGUACAAUGUCAACAAAACAUGAAAACUGAUAGAAGAAACGUCGGGCCUGCGGACGCCAGCAGGGCUACCUAGGAGUCUCGGCGGACUGAAAGAUGGCUCCCGAUCUACUUAUGAUGAUCAAACACUGCUCUAGGAUCUACAUACAGUGCAGACUGUAGUAUCAGCACAACCGACCCCAUGUGCUGGUAAGUGUCUGGCCUAACCCCGCGAGGUAGUGACGAGGCUAGGACCAAACUCCACAUAAACAUGUGCAGUUAUAUAAUAUAUGGCGGAAAAAUAACAAGUAAUAAGCAAUUAAAGUUGGGGAAAGGAAACAUGCUUCGGGGAUAGCAGAUAAAGGAGAAUAUCAAGGAUAAUAUGGAAACUACACUUUAACUUCUAAAACAGAUAAAGGGAAAUAAAGGCAACUUUCACUUUCAGUUUCAUAUUGUUGUAGGCGUGCAACUCGAUACCAUUUCUCAUAUCUUGUGGUAGGCAUAUCACCCGCUCCCAUUUUAGUAACUCUCGUGGUAGGCGUACCACCCACUUCCAUUUCAUCAUAUCUUGUGGUAGGCAUAUCACCCGCUCCCAUUUUAUUAUCUUUUAUGGUAGGCAUACCACCCGCUCCCAUUUCGUCAUAACUUGAGGUAGGCGUGCCACCCGUUCUCAUUUUAUUAAUACUUGUGGUAGGUGUAGCACCCGCUCCCAUUUUCAAGUCAUCACAAAAUCACAAGAAAUUUCAGUAAGGGAAUAAAGCAAUAUAAUAACUUCCCGGCAAGGGAACUAAAACAUCGAAACAGCCAUCCCGGUAAGGGAGAAUCAACUAUAACCAAUCUUAACUUAGCUUGCACUCGGCUCAAUUAAUGACAAUACUCAAUCAUAAUAAGAUCUAUGAGAAUAAACAAAUAUGUGCACAAUACAUAAAUGAUCAUUAAUUAAAGCAUUCGAAAUGUCAUUUAAGAACACAACAAUUCUCAAUUUAAGGCUCACGAUCAUGCUCGACACCAACAUAUAGAUACUCGUCACCAUGCCUAUACGUCGUACUCAACAAGAAGCAAGCAGCAAAUAUGACUCAGCUCAUAAUCCUCAAGCUAAGGUUAGACCCAACACUUACCUCGAUGCCUUGGCCACAACUCAAGUCUCAACUAUAGCUUUACCCCUUGAUUCCACCAUCAAUCCGCUCGAAUCUAGUCACAAAUUACUUAAUUGCAUCAAUAAAUACAAAAUGAAUCAACCCCAAUGCAUGAAAAUGAGUUUUCCAAAGUUUUACCCAAAAGUCAAAAAUCACCCCAGGCCCAUAUGGUCAAAACCCGAGGUUCGAACAAAUACCCGAUUACUCAUUCCCCCACGAACUCAAAUAUAUAAUUUAUUUUGACAUCGGACCUCAAAUUGAGGUCAAAAUCCCAAAUUUUUGAAAAAACUAGGUUCUACCCAAACACCCAAUUUUCCCAUGCAAAUCUUUGAUUUUAAGUUGAAAUCAUGUUAAAAGAUGAUAAGAAUUGAAGAAAGUUGGUUAAAACAAUAUAUUAUUGAUUUGGAGAAGAAAGGAUUCUUGAAAAAUCGCCUAAGUGCUUUUGGGGUUGAGAAAAUAUGAAAAAUGGGUUCAAAAUCGGUUUAGAAAACUGCAGGUCUCACUUAUGGGAAAUGUAAACAAUUGCGAACCCCGACCUACUGAUGUGGAAAUUGCAAAAAUAUGUUCGCAUUUGCGAACCUUUUUAAAUUCUGGACCUUCGCAUUUGCAAGACCUGUGUCACAUUUGUGAUUGCUACAUUUGCAACAUAUUGAUCGCAUUUGCGAUGAAAGUUCUCGCAUUUCCGACGAAAGGGCAGGUCUGGGCUGUUUCGCAUUUUUGAGCCAUGCGAAGCCUGCAAGUCGGUUCAUACCAGCAACUUUUCAAGGUUCAAAAAUGCACUUGCGACCUAUCCAAAACUCACCCGAGCCCUCGGGGCUCCAAAUCAAACAUGCACACGACCUCAAACACAUCCUACGAACUCAUCCGUACAACCAAAUCGCAAAAUAACAUCAUUUACAUCGAAUUAAACCUCAAACUCCAUGAAUUCUUUCAAACUUCUUAAAACAUUAAAUAUUCCAUUUAAAGUCUGAAUCACAUCAAACGACAUCCGUUUUCAAUCAAGUUUUAUAAAAAUUACUUAAAACAUAUAUAAGACCAAUACUGGGCGCUGGAACCAAAAUACGGGCCCGAUACCAUCGCUUUCUAAUCAGAUUUCAUUUCAAUUUUCCUUAAAUAUUUUCAGAAAAUAAUUUUACUCAAAAAUUUAUUUCUCGGGCUUGGGACCUCAGAUUCCAAUUUCGGGCAUACGCCUAAGUUUUAUAUUUUCCUACGGAGCCUCCAGGACCGUCGAAUCACGGGUCUGGGUUCGGGUCCGAGUCUGUUACCCAAAAUGUUGACCAAAGUUAAAUUUAUUUAUUUUAACAUCAAAAUUUAGCAUUUUAACAUAAUUUCAUAUUUAAGCUUUUCGGCUACGCGCCCGGACUGUGCAUGCAAAUCGAGGUGACUCUAAAUGAGGUUUUAAAGGCCUCGGAAACAUAAAAUUUAAUGAGAAACGGGUGAUGACCCUUUGGGUCGUCACAAUUAUAUUUUUCAAAUUUUGUACAAAAACGCUCCACUCAAAAUACCAUAUAUAAACGAUGUCAAGAUUGUUAAACUUACAGUUAUGGGAAUAACAGCCUUAAUCCCGAACUAGCUGGGAUCAGCUAUAUGAAUUUUGUCCGCUCCAUUUGGGCCAAUUUCUAAGAAAACUACAGGGACUCCAAACAAUCACAUGACCAAAUGUAAGUACACCAACAUGACCAAACCAUAAUCCUAAUUAGCAUGAUAUAAAAACAAAGAAAAUUGAUUUCACUAAAAAGCAUCUAUGUUGAAAUAAUUCAGUAUGGGUUCCUCAGGGAAACAUAACAAAAUGCUAAACUCAUAAUCAUCCACCCCACAUGCAUCUAGGCCUAACUCAACGAAUGGCAGAAUAAACUACUAGGAAAUAGAACAUUUGUGGGAAAACGAAAAAGGAAAAAUCUUUUACACAGCUCUAGUCCACAUGACAAUUUCAUGAUUGACGAGUAAUCAUUCAGAUUUUGUCAUAAAGAAACAAAAAAGUGAUGAAUAUUGAAAUUUGGAUCGAUGAAUGUAAUGGACAAUUAAGGAAAAAGAAUGUUCUAGAGGAGGAACUUCAUAGAGAGCAAACUAAGUAGAAUUUUGUUCAUUCUACUGAGAAGUUGUAUACAUCGAUAUAUUCUAUGCACAUAUAUACAGAUUCUCUAACUAUAUUUUCAUCUCCACUAACUACUUAACCACCAACCCAAUAAAUAGUUGUCUAACCAUCCCACUAACUACAGUUAACUACAUCAAUUACAUGGUCAUGUGCUUAUCAUGUGACACUACUCAUGUGCUUAUCAUGUGACACUACUCUCUUCAAUACUCCCCCUCAAGCUAGGUGGUGCAAAUAGAUUGAGCACUCCUAGCUUGCCCAUCACAUACUCAUGUUGUGAUCUUCCAAGUGCCUUUGUGAAUAAGUCUGCCUCUUGAUCCUUUGACAUCACAUACUUUGUUUUCACAAUUCCUUGUUGUAUCUUCUCUUUUAUGAAAUGCAAAUCUAUCUCUAUAUGCUUCAUACGUUCAUGAAAUAUGGGAUUCGCAGAAAUUUGAAUUGUUGCUUUACUGUCACAGUGUAACUCCACUGGUAGCUCAACUUCUGCUCCUAGCUCCUUACACAGUCCUGUUAGCCAUGAUAUUUCUGCAACUCCUGCUGCCAUACUCCUGUAUUCCGCCUCUGCAGAACUCCUUGAUACUAUGCAUUGUUUUUUGAUUUCCGUGAUACCAAUGAAUUCCCAAUUUUCAUCACAUAACCUGAAAUUCCUUGUUGUAUCUUCUCUCUUAUGAAAUGCAAAUCUAUCUCUAUAUGCUUCAUACGUUCAUGAAAUAUGGGAUUCGCAGAAAUUUGAAUUGUUGCUUUACUGUCACAGUGUAACUCCACUGGUAGCUCAACUUCUGCUCCUAGCUCCUUACACAGUCCUGUUAGCCAUGAUAUUUCUGCAACUCCUGCUGCCAUACUCCUGUAUUCCGCCUCUGCAGAACUCCUUGAUACUAUGCAUUGUUUUUUGAUUUCCGUGAUACCAAUGAAUUCCCAAUUUUCAUCACAUAACCUGUUACAGAUUUUCCGGAAACUGGGCAUGCUGCCCAAUCAGCAUCACAGAAUGCCAUCAACUUAGUAGACUGUUUUGAGCUUAUUAACAAGCCCAAACCUGGAGCUCCUUUGAUAUACCUGACAAUCCGUAUAGCUGCUUCCAUAUGAGAUUUCUCUGGGCAGUGCAUGAAUUGGCUCAAUACGUGAACUACAUAGCAUAUGUAUGGUCUAGUCAUGGUGAGAUAUAGUAGCUUGGCCACCAACCUCUGAUAAGGACUUGGAUCUUCCAGCUUUUCAUCUUCUUUGAAAUUCACAUAUUCAUCAUACUCUAUAGUUGUGAAUCUCUGAUUACACUUCAUUGGUGUGCUGACUGGUUUUGAACCAGAUAGUCCAAGAUCUGUGAUGAGUUCCAUAGCAAACUUCCUUUGAUUCAUUAAAAUUCCCUUGGAACUUGCUAUCUCUAUCCCAAGAAAGAACUUCAAUUCCCCCAGAUCCUUCAUUCUGAAGUUGCUUUGCAGCAUAGCUUUAUGUUACAGCCUUAGAACUCAAGCUAAGUGUCGUACGGUGCUAGAUAGUUUGCCUGCGGAAUUAUGGCAAAGUCUAGUAAGUUUUGUUGCCUAAGAUCGUACUAAGGGAAAGUUGGAUAGCAAACAAAGAAAGUUUAGAGGGAAAUGAGCUUGUAUUGCCUUCAAGAAUGCUAUACAAUUGCUUGAGAAUACAAGAUUUCUCUAAGUGUGGGAAGUAUAUCUGGAUGCUUGGAUUUCUGGGAUUUUUGAGGAUUGCCUAACAAUUGCUAAGUGCUGAGAGGUUGUGAGUUCGAGUCUCCCCAAGAGCACGGUGGGAAGUUCUUGGAGGGAAGGAUGCCGGGGGUCUAUUU
rnacentral:lncRNA from 1 species